rnacentral:rRNA from 1 species
ACGGGUGAGUAACGCGUGGAUAACCUGCCUCAUACAGGGGGAUAACAGUUAGAAAUGACUGCUAAUACCGCAUAAGCACACGGGAGCGCAUGCUUCCGGGUGAAAAGCUCCGGCGGUAUGAGAUGGAUCCGCGUCUGAUUAGCUGGUUGGCGGGGUAACGGCCCACCAAGGCGACGAUCAGUAGCCGACCUGAGAGGGUGGCCGGCCACAUUGGGACUGAGACACGGCCCAAACUCCUACGGGAGGCAGCAGUGGGGAAUAUUGCACAAUGGGGGAAACCCUGAUGCAGCAACGCCGCGUGGGUGAAGAAGUAUUUCGGUAUGUAAAGCCCUAUCAGCAGGGAAGAGAAUGACGGUACCUGACUAAGAAGCCCCGGCUAACUACGUGCCAGCAGCCGCGGUAAUACGUAGGGGGCAAGCGUUAUCCGGAUUUACUGGGUGUAAAGGGAGCGUAGACGGUUGUGCAAGUCUGAAGUGAAAGCCCGCGGCUCAACUGCGGAACGGCUUUGGAAACUGUGUAACUGGAGUGCUGGAGAGGUAAGCGGAAUUCCUGGUGUAGCGGUGAAAUGCGUAGAGAUCAGGAGGAACACCGGCGGCGAAGGCGGCUUACUGGACAGUAACUGACGUUGAGGCUCGAAAGCGUGGGGAGCAAACAGGAUUAGAUACCCUGGUAGUCCACGCGGUAAACGAUGAAUGCUAGGUGUUGGUGGGCA